UACGGAGGGUGCAAGCGGUAUCCGGAUUCACUGGGUUUAAAGGGUGCGUAGGCGGACAGGUAAGUCAGUGGUGAAAUCUCUGGGCUUAACCCAGAAACUGCCGUUGAUACUAUUUGUCUUGAAUAUCCUGGAGGUAGGCGGAAUAUGUCAUGUAGCGGUGAAAUGCUUAGAUAUGACAUAGAACACCGAUAGCGAAGGCAGCUUACUACAGGAUGAUUGACGCUGAGGCACGAAAGCGUGGGGAGCAAACAGG
rnacentral:rRNA from 1 species